UGAAUGGAAGGGCCAUCGCUCAACGGAUAAAAGGUACUCCGGGGAUAACAGGCUGAUACCGCCCAAGAGUUCAUAUCGACGGCGGUGUUUGGCACCUCGAUGUCGGCUCAUCACAUCCUGGGGCUGAAGUAGGUCCCAAGGGUAUGGCUGUUCGCCAUUUAAAGUGGUACGCGAGCUGGGUUUAGAACGUCGUGAGACAGUUCGGUCCCUAUCUGCCGUGGGCGCUGGAGAACUGAGGGGGGCUGCUCCUAGUACGAGAGGACCGGAGUGGACGCAUCACUGGUGUUCGGGUUGUCAUGCCAAUGGCACUGCCCGGUAGCUAAAUGCGGAAGAGAUAAGUGCUGAAAGCAUCUAAGCACGAAACUUGCCCCGAGAUGAGUUCUCCCUGACCCUUUAAGGGUCCUGAAGGAACGUUGAAGACGACGACGUUGAUAGGCCGGGUGUGUAAGCGCAGCGAUGCGUUGAGCUAACCGGUAC
rnacentral:rRNA from 1 species